AUGUAGGUAUCUGCCCUUUGGCCUGGAAUAACACGAGGAAACUUGUGCUAAUACCGGAUAAGUCUUUACGGAGAAAGCUUUAUGCACCAUUGGAUGAGCCUGCACUUGAUUAGUUUGUUGGUGGGGUAAUGGCCUACCAAGACUGUGAUCAAUAGCUGAUUUGAGAGGAUGAUCAGCCACAUUGGGACUGAGACACGGCCCAAACUCCUACGGGAGGCAGCAGUGGGGAAUCUUGCACAAUGGAGGAAACUCUGAUGCAGCGAUGCCGCGUGAGUGAAGAAGGCCUUUGGGUUGUAAAGCUCUUUCGUCGGG
rnacentral:rRNA from 1 species